AGAGGAGCUGGAGUGAGUUUGCUGCUGUGAGGACAAGGAAGAGUCAGGGCUUAGAGGAGCUGCCUGUGAGAAACAUUAAGGAGGGUGUGAGUCUGCUGCUGGUGCCAGAAAUGCGGUGAAAAACACAUCCACAGCAUGAAAAACUAGAGAAUCAAGGAGGUAGUGACAACAGGCCAGGCACAAGUCAAGGCAGCUUCUGGGAAAGACCACAGAGAGGAACACACAUCUCCAGUCUAAACAAGGGAGAAACCAACACUACCCAUCCUAAAUAUGAAGUGUAGAAUGGACAAACCAUAUCUGAACAUUCACCCUCUAACCAGGCACUUGGGAUGAUUAUCUUAGAUGCAGAUUGUAGACACUGGAAACAUCAGGUACUCAAAUGCUAUACUGAUUACUGCUUGCCUGAGCUGGAUAUGCAUUUCUACAUCUUGAGAGGGAAAAAAACCAUGACUGAAGAUUACUGAGGCUUCUGAGUUUCUAAGUCAAGUGAAAUGUGGGUUUGUGGCAAGCUAGGAGAAUAUAAUUAGAGGAGGCAAUAUACAGCCCUGUCAGGUGACUUGGACUCUUCUGCUAUAAAGACAUGCAUUUUUUGUAACAAUACACAACUGUCUUUGUAAUGAAAACAGAGGGGUCUCAAAACAAUUCAGAUGCGUUUCUCAAGAUAAAAAUAUCAUAUGGCUCGGUCAAUUUUUGCUGCAUGUAGGCCAUCAGGAUGUUUUCAGCUAAUAGGAAAUAAUUUUGUUUCAUGCUGUUUGUCACCUGUCCCACAAAAUCUGUCAGUCUCAGUGUGUCAUAUUUUCCGGCACCAAUUAUGUGAGGACUCCAAAGCUCAAGUGUCCAGUAUUUCCCAGAAGGAAGAAAUUUGAUGACAAAUGAAGAGAUCCAUCAUAAGUGUGUGCUGCUCACUCUCGUUCCUGCAUUAUCCUGCACUUAAACAGUGGCCUUGAACUCCUGGCAGCAUUAUGAGGCAAUGUUCAUCAGUUCUUUGCUCGGGGCAGCUCUUGUUUUGCCAACUUGAAUCACCGCAAAGUUGAGUGCCUGAAUUCUUUUUCCAGUUAAUGAAGUGAAAUCCCCACUUUCACAGCGUAAUUCAUCUCUGCUGGUUUAGACAUCUUGGCUGGUGCUUGCACUCCAACCCCAUGUUUCUAUGGAAUCUCUGGCUAAGUAAAAGUCAUCAAUAUACUUACCUGUAUGGGUAGCUUUUCUUUAGCCUUUCAUAAAGAAUAUAUACAUAUAUAUAUAUUCACAACAAAAAUUAAAGAAAUAGAGAAAUUCUUUUGCUUCAGUGAGAGAAAAAGAUCAUAAGAUCAUCUUUUCCAAUGGUGGAAGAAAAGAUGUAUGAGAAUUAGUGUGUGAGAGAAAGAUAGAAGAUAGGAAAAGUGAAUAUUUCCAAACAUAAUAGGUAGUGAACUUACUCUGGAUCUGCUUUCAUUUAAUUUAAUUGUAAUAAUUCUGCCUACUUCAAGGUAUGGGAUAAAGUCAGACAACACUGCAAAUGAACACAAACUCAUUAGGAAAUUAAUAAUCACUGUGAUAAGAGUGUUUGGAAGGCUGAAAAAUUAGGUCAACUUUAAACAUUAAAAUUUAACUUCACUAAAUUAAUUGCUUAACAUCAUACUUCUCAAUAAUGGCUAAAUCUUGCAGGAUAUUAAUCAUCACUGUUUUGUAUACAAACCUGUUAGUUCUGAACGCUUAUCCUGAAUUAGCUGUGAGUAUGUAAUAUCAAGUAGCUGAUGCUGUGUCUAAAAGAAUACACACAACAAAUGAUAGUUUUUAUCCCAGGGGCUCAUGCAUCAAGUUCCAGACCUCAUGGGUAUGAAAGCCAACAAAUGAUGUAGGACUGUUCUUUUGAAGAAGCCCAUUUGAAGCACUUUUUUGAUGAGGCUAUGGCACUGUGGUGCUGUGUUUGUAACCAUGAGAUGCACACUGAAGCUAAAUUAAGUUUCACAUUUCUUUUAGCUUCUCACCACUGAGAAAAGUACAGACAGAGUCUUUAUGUGUGAGCUUUGUUUGUGUCAAAGGCAAUGCUUGUAAUGUAUCUGAGAAUGUAAACCUUGGACAGUCCUGACCUCUAAAUUCUCUAAAUUCCAAUGAACAGUAGCUAUAGUACUAUUUUAUUUCACUAUGCAUUUAUCAGUGAAUAUCUUGUACUUUAUCCUGCUUUGAUUUUAUAGAGUUAACCGUUGAUGAAAUCAGGAUAGCACAGUGUGGGCAGUAUUGCUGAAACUUGUGUAAUGAUUAGCUUGACAAUAUAUCCUUAAAGUGAACGAAAGAAAUUUACCCCAAAAUUUUUUCGUUCUUCAUGCGUCCAUGAGAAGAUGAAGAAAUAAGUAAAUAAUUAUUCUGUGAAAUGAAGCUUCAAAUUAGUUCUAUACUUUCUCUCUAUAUUUUCUGACUGGGCUCUGAAACCCUUUCUUGAAGCUCAGGGAGAGUUCUAACUUUGGGUGCUAAAACUUUGGAUAGUCUAGCUUAAGCAGUUUCCCUCUUAGUCUAAAUAUAGACUCCCUUUAGAGAGAGAGGCUAGGGUGUGAUUGAAAGCAGAAAUAUAAUUUUGAGUGCUCUGAGGCUGCAUACAGAAGUACACCUGUCUUGU